GAUGAACGCUGGCGGCGUGCCUAAUACAUGCAAGUCGAGCGAACGGACGAGAAGCUUGCUUCUCUGAUGUUAGCGGCGGACGGGUGAGUAGCACGUGGAUAACCUACCUAUAAGACUGGGAUAACUUCGGGAAACCGGAGCUAAUACCGGAUAAUAUUUUGAACCGCAUGGUUCAAAAGUGAAAGACGGUCUUGCUGUCACUUAUAGAUGGAUCCGCGCUGCAUUAGCUAGUUGGUAAGGUAACGGCUUACCAAGGCAACGAUGUAUAGCCGACCUGAGAGGGUGAUCGGCCACACUGGAACUGAGACACGGUCCAGACUCCUACGGGAGGCAGCAGUAGGGAAUCUUCCGCAAUGGGCGAAAGCCUGACGGAGCAACGCCGCGUGAGUGAUGAAGGUCUUCGGAUCGUAAAACUCUGUUAUUAGGGAAGAACAUAUGUGUAAGUAACUGUGCACAUCUUGACGGUACCUAAUCAGAAAGCCACGGCUAACUACGUG
rnacentral:rRNA from 1 species